GAUUUAUUUAAUAUUAUUAUGUUAACGUGGUAUAGUUAUAUAUUUAUUAUUAAAUGGUAAUGAAAUGUUUAUCGAUUCCUAGGAUAGCUAGUUUAUUAGUGAAGAAUAUUUAAGUAUUAUAAUGUUUGUAUAAUAAAUUAUGUUUAAAUAUUAGUUUAUUGUAUGAGGGAUAAGCUUCAUAUAAAUUUAUAGAUGUUUAAAAAUUUAAAUUUUAUUAUUUAAGUAGGGUUAAAGUUUGUUUUUCUUAAUGAUUUAAUUAAUAUGUUUAAUAAUAAUGAGUCAGGUAAAUGUAGUUAGUAAAUGGUUAUUAGUUUUAAUUAACCAAAUAUAAUGUUAAUAUGAGUAUUGGUUUAUAGAUUAUUAUAUUUAUUGAAAUUAUAAAUGGAGAUAAAUAAAUAUAUAGUUUUAUAUAAUUAAGUAAAGUUAAGGAAUUCGGCAAAUAUUAAUCUCGCCUGUUUAUCAAAAACAUCUCUCUUUGUUGUUAGGUAUAUAAAGAG
rnacentral:rRNA from 1 species